GUGACUUGUGAUUUAGGAAAAAAAUAUAUUUUUUGUCUGAUAUAAAUACUUGGUGUACACUAACAACAGGGUUCUGAAGCUAAUGGUUUUAACAACAAUGGUGUCUUUGGAUGAGAUGUUACUUAAAUAGCAUGUAAUGAAAAAUGAAACCCUAUAGUACUGUAACUCACUCACACAACUCUGCUGUUAACAUUGCAUGGAGGGGAAUCAGUGAGCUUUCCAUCCCACUGUUGCUAGCAUUUUGCACAGUAGAUGAAGAUAGAGUGAAGAACAGCACUGCACAGUGUGCAAGGCUCAUGAGAUCUAUGGUAGAAGGUGCAGUGUCAGAGAGGAGCAGCAAGGCCAAGGACUGCUCUGAAAUCAUUAUUCUGAUGGAGAGUCAGUGAUCAGUUUGAUAUCAAGAGAAUGGUGGAAAUCUCAAAAGGCUGGAGAAAAAGAUCCUGCUAUUUGCUAAUGUUAAGAAGAUGUGUUGUCCUUGUGAGUCAGCCACGUCAGUUCUGUUUCCAUUUCCUAAAUCCUCAUGUGGCAAGGAAUAAGAAAUUUUUAAAAUGCGUAGACAGAAACAAAGCCAAACAAAGUAGAUAAGAACAUUAAGAAGACACCUUCAGCUAUGACCCAUGGUUUCUGGAAGGAUGUGUAUUUUCAAGCAACCGCUGGUCAAAGAUGACGAGAAUUGAUGUGUUGCGAGGAGCAGUGUGUGGGAGUUUUCGGGAGGAGGAAGCUUGAUGCCAGGUCACAGCCUGGCUGGCAGUGCCACAGCACAUCCUUUACAGACGCAGCCCUGUUGGUUAUCCUCGAUCAAGCUGGUGGCAAACAGCAGGUACAAGUGUGUGGGGAGAGGGAGAGAACCUGGUGAUGUGGUUUUGGAUCCCUGCCUUGCCCCCGCAGCAGAGGCCAGGGAGGGGUGGUUGUAAGUUUGUUUUUCAUGAAUGGACCAAAGAUGGUGACAGUGGCCCCCAGGACAACCUCUCUUCUGCCGGCAGCAUAUCACAAGCAACCCCGCUCGUUAACUGCCAACAGUGGACUUCUGAUGUGCUAUACAUUGUAAAAUGAAGACCUUAAGAGGCUUAAAGCAUCAUCAUCAUUUCAUAUUGUGCAACUGUUGCUGGCAAGAUUUUGUUAAAAUGCCACAGUUUUCUCUUUAUGAAAUUCAUUCUCCCUUAGACACCGUGGAUAGUGUCAAAUAAUAUCUUUUACCUUUUUCAUGCAAGAUGUGCUGGAUUUAAAGCAAAACACAACAAAAAUCAAAAACAAGAAAAAACAACCAACCAACAACAACCAAAAAUAUACGCCCAACCCUCCAUUCUGAUGACAUGAAAUGCAAGGAGACUUUUCUUGGCUUUGAUUGUGGCCAGGUGGAUAUAACAAGACUUUCUGAAACAAAAGAUGCACCUGUCCCAGUACCUCAGGCACUCCACAUCCCAUGUUGUUGUGCAAGGAUGAUGGUGAGGAUGCUGGUUAACCUCCAUGCCCAUCUCCCUGGGAGCAGAAGAAAUCACCAUUAAAGCCCCGAUGUCACAGCAGAGCCUUGGGUGCUUGGCAGUGCCUGGAAUUGGUGCUCCCAGGUGGUGGAUUUGAACCCUUUAAGGAAGUGGAGGAUUAGUGUGUGCUGCUUGAAUUCAUUCCCUUUGGGAUGCACUGCCUUUCUGGCUUUUUCUGGCCAUCCUCAAACUGACCUCAAGUUGUAACAGAGGCUGAAAAAAAAAAAAAAAAAA